GGGUUGGGUAAAUGCCGGGACCAGGCAAUCUUCAGGCUUCUUCGGAUCCCCGCGAGAAGCCCUCUCGUGAGUAUCUGAAACCGUCAUUUCACUGCCAGAAAUGAAAAACAUCCUGUCCCUAGUCACCUGCCAUAUGCUUUUUCAAAACCAUCAUUUCCUCUGUUUGCUGGAUGUCCAAAUCCUACUCUGCACCCCAGGGGCACCCCUUGGACCCCCGGGUUCGCUGCAGGGCCCACACCUGGAUCAGGCCUCUCACGGGGACGCUCUCGCCAAUGUAAUAAAGAGGAGAAAACGUCCUAGGGGAAGGGCCUGACCCUGCUUCAUCCAGUCAGCAAAAAGCCACAUGGAAGGGACCACCUCAGCCACUCUGGAAGCCACAUCCAUCACUUCUCUGACCGCACCUAGGCUGCUUCCCAGGCCCUGAGGUCCUAGUGUGGACCUCCCUGCCGUGAUUAAUACAGUUUUUCAGAUUAAGUUCUCCACGACUACACGCUUCUGAAACUGUCAUAGGCACAGCCACAGCUUCAUUCAGGGCAGACGCACAAAAGCAGACUCUCCGUGGGGCAUGUUUCUGGAGCAUCAAUAUUACUGCAGCAUUUGGAUUAAACAAAUUUAAAUAAUUUCGAAAAUAAAAAAUUGAACAUUUAAGACAAGGCUGGAAAAGUCAUCUGCCUUUAAUAACUGUCAUCUGUGCCUCACAUGUCAGACUUUCUCCAAGAAAAAAUCUCUGAAGAGAACCUAUUUCCAUUCUUAUAAAUAGUAAAAAUGAUAAAUCAUAUCAAGUCAAUUGAAAGUCCUGCCCUGCUAGUUUUCUAAAUCACAGUAUGGCCUUGGUAUGGUUUUAUUUGUAUUUUUGUGGGGCGUUUGUGGACCUUUGAAU
rnacentral:sRNA from 1 species